UUUUUUGUGGCAGAUAUUUAAUGUGUUGAAUUUAAGCUUCAAAGAUAGAAAUUUUUCUCUAAAAAA
rnacentral:tRNA from 1 species